rnacentral:lncRNA from 1 species
UCUGGAGAUUUCAUCCUCUUGACUAGAAGAUAAGGUUGCUGGGGAAAAUGAUGGCUUUCAGGGAGUACUUUCUUUCUUCUUUUCUCAUUGAGUUUAUUGGUACAUUUUAGGCACACAGUACAGUCAUAUUCAUCACUGGGAUCUUCUUCAGGGAGUACUUUCAAUGGUAACAGCAGCACUUCUGCACAGUGAGAAUAUCACGGGAGAAGAGUUCCUUGUUAUAGAGAACAGUGCUCGGCUGUGUCAGCGAUGGACUGCGGCAGAGCGGAAGGAGAAAAAGAAAAUGCAGCACUGAGAGACCCUGGGGAGCCGAGGUUGGAGUGUGGCAGGGAAUUCUCAGGGACUGCGCCCCUCCGCUUUUCCACCUGUAUUUCCCACAUGCUAUCCGGGACCUACCUCACAGUCAUACAUCUGCUCCAUUCAGGAUUUGAUUGUAGAGACUGCCUAUAUUGACCAACAAAAGAAACAUUUCUGCAUUUGCUUCAAACCACCUCUCAUUUUUGCAUUUAAUCAAAAGGCCUGACUUCAUUUGAUCUCAGUUCCACACUGCUGGUCUUCACACUUCAACUGGAAGGCACCAAGCUCCCCUAACAGAAGUAUCAAGCUUUUGGAGUGAUGGCGAGGAGCAGGUUUCUUCACCGUGUUGAGUGCAGAUUCAGUACUGGGCUACAGCAAGAAUAAGCAUCAUGUUGGGCUGGUGAGCUUAUCUUCCUCAGUGAACUGUUUGCCAAGGAAAUCCAAGCCAUGAUAAACAGACAAAUGUCUGAGGUCACCGCGGC